UACGUAGGUGGCAAGCGUUGUCCGGAUUUAUUGGGUUUAAAGGGUGCGUAGGCGGUCCUAUAAGUCAGUGGUGAAAUACGGCAGCUCAACUGUCGAGGUGCCAUUGAUACUGUAGGACUUGAGUACAGACGAGGUAGGCGGAAUUGACGGUGUAGCGGUGAAAUGCUUAGAUAUCGUCAAGAACACCGAUAGCGAAGGCAGCUUACUGGGCUGUAACUGACGCUGAUGCACGAAAGUGUGGGGAUCAAACAGG
rnacentral:rRNA from 1 species